CGAGUGAAGCGGCAACAGCUCAAAUUUGAAAUCUGGCCCCUUCGGGGUCCGAGUUGUAAUUUGUAGAGAGUGUUUCGGGUGAGGUCACGGUCUAAGUCUAUUGGAACAUGGCGUCAUAGAGGGUGAGAAUCCCGUAUGUGACCGUGAACCGAGCCCAUGUGAAGCCUCUUCGACGAGUCGAGUUGUUUGGGAAUGCAGCUCAAAAUGGGUGGUAAAUUUCAUCUAAAGCUAAAUACUGGCUGGAGACCGAUAGCGCACAAGUAGAGUGAUCGAAAGAUGAAAAGCACUUUGGAAAGAGAGUGAAACAGUACGUGAAAUUGUUGAAAGGGAAGCGCUUGCAACCAGACCUGCCCGUAGGCGAUCAGCCGCUGUUCUCAGUGGUGCACUCGCUCUGCGAUCAGGCCAGCAUCGGUUUCGGCGGUCGGAUAAAGGCCUUGGGAAUGUAGCUUCCUUUCGGGGGAGUCUUAUAGCCCUCGGUGCAAUGCGGCCAGCCGGGACCGAGGACCGCGCUUCGGCUAGGAUGCUGGCGUAAUGGUUGUAAGCGACCCGUCUUGAAACACGGACCAAGGAGUCUAACAUCUAUGCGAGUGUUUGGGUGUUAAACCCAUACGCGGAAUGAAAGUGAACGGAGGUGAGAACCCUGAAGGGCGCAUCAUCGACCGAUCCAGAUGUCUUCGGAUGGAUUUGAGU
rnacentral:rRNA from 1 species